UGAGGAAUAUUGGUCAAUGGGCGCAGGCCUGAACCAGCCAAGUCGCGUGAGGGAGGACGGUCCUACGGAUUGUAAACCUCUUUUGUCGGGGAGUAACGUGCGGGACGCGUCCCGUAUUGAGAGUACCCGAAGAAAAAGCAUCGGCUAACUCCGUGCCAGCAGCCGCGGUAAUACGGAGGAUGCGAGCGUUAUCCGGAUUUACUGGGUGUAAAGGGCGUGUAGCCGGGUCGGCAAGUCAGAUGUGAAAUCCACGGGCUUAACUCGUGAACUGCAUUUGAAACUGUUGAUCUUGAGUAUCGGAGAGGCAAUCGGAAUUCCUAGUGUAGCGGUGAAAUGCGUAGAUAUUAGGAGGAACACCAGUGGCGAAGGCGGAUUGCUGGACGACAACUGACGGUG
rnacentral:rRNA from 1 species